rnacentral:tRNA from 1 species
CAACCUGUAGCUUAAAUAAAGCAUCUUACUUACACUAAGAAAAUACUUGAGAAAAACUAGUCAGAUUGA